GUGCUCACUUCGGCAGCACGCAUACUAAAAUUGGAAUGAUACGGAGAAGAUCAGCAAGGCCCCUGUGCAAGGAUGACACGCAAACUCAUGAAGUGUUCCAUUAAAAA